rnacentral:snRNA from 1 species
GUGCUCGCUUUGGCAGCACAUACACUAAAACUGGAACAAUACAGAGAAGAUUAGCAUGGCCCCUGCGCAAGGAAGACACUCAAAUUCAAGUGUUCCAUAUUAAA